UUUGCCUGGGGCAAAAUGCAUAGACAUACAUCAGAUGUGUUUUUUGUUUAAAUUGGCUUGUAUAUCAGUGUGACUGUGCAGGGAGGAAGCUUUUAAAGGUAGUACUGNAUUUGUUUCUUAAAAAGAGCCUUAAUCAAGCCUUCCAUUUAAAGUUAUACAAGAUGCCAUGGAAGGCUAAUUAAUAGUAUGACCGAAAGAACUGGAAUUAGUAAGAAUAACAAAAAUCAUACAGGAAGAUUUCACAAUGGGUUGUUUCCAGGAGCAAAAGAGAAUGAAAUAUGUAGAAUGGGCUUCUUCACCACCACCACCAACACCACCAUCAUCAUUAUUGUUGUUGUUCUGGCAAAUAUUCUUUUUCUCUUCCAUCCAAGUGACUGUCCACACAGAAGCACAGAUCAGUUUAGGUCAGGCUACGUUGUGAGCAGCUCCCAUGAUGCAUCCCACAAUCAGCUUUCAAUGCAUUCCAAAGUGCCAUUUCAGGAGUCUCCAAACUACCUUAAAAUAGCCCGAAAAUGUCUUUUCUUACUGUGUGUCAUUCCCAAGUUUCACUGGUUUUGAUUUACUUUGGGUGUUAUGGGCAUUACUACGAACACAUCUAUAGUAGGUGUGCAUACACAUAACACGCAAAGGACAUGUAUCUCUGGACUUUGGACUAUACAGCUGUAUGGGUGUUCUAACCAUGGCUUGCUCGUGGAAGGCAACUUGAAAGCAUUAUAAAGGAAAAGCCAUCUUGGAAGAAAAGACAAACCCCAUUUUGAAAUUGAGACUUUUUUCCUUCACACCUCCAUCUUCAUUUUAAGACAGAAGAAGUUUUCUGUAGACUGGAAAACCCUAGAAGCAUGUUGCAGGAGCACCUGGACUCUGCUUUUGUUUUGUUAACAUUGUCUUCACACUUGGCACAAUGCUCUUAGCGCAGCAAUGCUCUUUAAACUUCUCUUAGCAGUACCCUUGCCAUUGUGUCACACCAUUGUAACUUUGCUUUUUAUCUUUGAACCUGCCUGAUCACUAUAUUAUUAUCAAAGCCUGUUAUCUUGUUGAUGGCUGUUGCAGCCACUCAAUAAAUUGCUUCUUAUCCUUUUUAUUGUUUGAAAU
rnacentral:lncRNA from 1 species